GACGAACGCUGGCGCGUGCUAAUACAUGCAAGUAGAACGCUGAAGAGAGGAGCUUGCUCUUUCUUGGAUGAGUUGCGAACGGGUGAGUAACGCGUAGGUAACCUGCCUUGUAGCGGGGGAUAACUAUUGGAAACGAUAGCUAAUACCGCAUAACAAUGGAUGACACAUGUCAUUUAUUUGAAAGGGGCAAUUGCUCCACUACAAGAUGGACCUGCGUUGUAUUAGCUAGUAGGUGAGGUAAUGGCUCACCUAGGCGACGAUACAUAGCCGACCUGAGAGGGUGAUCGGCCACACUGGGACUGAGACACGGCCCAGACUCCUACGGGAGGCAGCAGUAGGGAAUCUUCGGCAAUGGGGGCAACCCUGACCGAGCAACGCCGCGUGAGUGAAGAAGGUUUUCGGAUCGUAAAGCUCUGUUGUAAGUCAAGAACGGGUGUGAGAGUGGAAAGUUCACACUGUGACGGUAGCUUACCAGAAAGGGACGGCUAACUACGUGCCAGCAGCCGCGGUAAUACGUAGGUUCCCGAGCGUUGUCCGGAUUUAUUGGGCGUAAAGCGAGCGCAGGCGGUUUGAUAAGUCUGAAGUUAAAGGCUGUGGCUCAACCAUAGUUCGCUUUGGAAACUGUCAAACUUGAGUGUAGAAGGGGAGAGUGGAAUUCCAUGUGUAGCGGUGAAAUGCGUAGAUAUAUGGAGCACACCGGUGGCGAAAGCGGCUCUCUGGUCUGUAACUGACGCUGAGGCUCGAAAGCGUGGGAGCGAACAGG
rnacentral:rRNA from 1 species